AUUGAACGCUGGCGGCAGGCCUAACACAUGCAAGUCGAACGAGUGGCGGACGGGUGAGUAAUGUCUGGGAAACUGCCCGAUGGAGGGGGCUAACUACUGGAAACGGUAGCUAAUACCGCAUACCAUCGGAUGUGCCCAGAUGGGAUUAGCUAGUAGGGGGGGUAACGGCUCACCAAGGCGACGAUCCCUAGCUGGGCGGAGAGGCUGACCAGCCACACUGGAACUGAGACACGGUCCAGACUCCUACGGGAGGCAGCAGUGGGGAAUAUUGGACAAUGGGCGCAAGCCUGAUGCAGCCAUGCCGCGUGUAUGAAGAAGGCGUUCGGGUUGUAAAGUACUUUCAGCGAGGAGGCGUUACUCGCAGAGGAAGCACCGGCUAACUCCGUGCCAGCAGCCGCGGUAAUAC
rnacentral:rRNA from 1 species